rnacentral:rRNA from 1 species
ACCUGCCCUGUACACACGGAUAACAUAGCGAAAGGUAUGCUAAUACGAGAUAAAAUACUUUUAUCGCAUGGUAGAAGUAUCAAAGUUUUUGCGGUACAGGAUGGACCCGCGUCUGAUUAGCUAGUUGGUAAGGUAACGGCUUACCAAGGCGACGAUCAGUAGCCGACCUGAGAGGGUGAUCGGCCACAUUGGAACUGAGACACGGUCCAAACUUAAACGGGAGGCAGCAGUGGGGAAUAUUGCACAAUGGGCGAAAGCCUGAUGCAGCAACGCCGCGUGAGCGAUGAAGGCCUUCGGGUCGUAAAGCUCUGUCCUCAAGGAAGAUAAUGACGGUACUUGAGGAGGAAGCCCCGGCUAACUACGUGCCAGCAGCCGCGGUAAUACGUAGGGGGCUAGCGUUAUCCGGAAUUACUGGGCGUAAAGGGUGCGUAGGUGGUUUCUUAAGUCAGAGGUGAAAGGCUACGGCUCAACCGUAGUAAGCCUUUGAAACUGGGGAACUUGAGUGCAGGAGAGGAGAGUGGAAUUCCUAGUGUAGCGGUGAAAUGCGUAUGUAUUACGAGGAACACCAGUUGCGAAGGCGGCUCUCUGGACUGUAACUGACACUGAGGCACGAAAGCGUGGGGAGCAAACAGGAUUAGAUACCCUGGUAGUCCACGCCGUAAACGAUGAGUACUAGCUGUCGGAGGUUACCCCCUUCGGU